GUGCAAUGGUUAGACCAGGGACCUGGGCAUCCAAACCCUGGAGUAAAACAGCAUGUUUGCUUCUUUGAUAAACUUUGGUGUUUAAAUUGCCUACCGUAUCUACACCACGCAAACAGGAUUGUGUUUCUGGAAACCUAAAUUAAAAGAUCCAAUAUAAAUUAGAAGCAAUUGUAUAGUUCUUUAAUGGAUAUUCCUACGUGAGUUGCUGACCUCUGUGGUACUCAAAAGCUUGAGUAUAAGAAAUCUACAAAUCAAUAAGGAAAAUAACCUGGAAUGGAGGAUGGGUCUCAUUACAGCGCUAAGUGUCGAUACAGUAGAUGUCUUAAUGCUAGUUAAUGACUGUCCCUAAUGGUAUUCAAACAAUGUACAUUUGCUUUAGCUUUUUUCAAAGUCCAGAUAAGCUGCUCUGAGCUCUCUUAAUGAUGCGAAUUAUUUAACGCUCAUUUGUAUGCAGUAUGCUCCUGCUUUGAAAGUACUUCACAGAAUUCAAGCCAAAUUCAGCCUUGCAGCUCCACUGAAGUCACUGCUUGUCUGUGCAUCUGCUGGUAGUUUUUGCUUGAAGAGUUAACUUCUUGUUGCACUGAUUUUAUUUUAUUUUUAAAGGUAGUAUCUGCAAAGGGUUUUUAGUCACCUUUCUCCCCUCCCUGGUAGAGUAGCUGUAAGUACAAAUGCUGUUCUGUUGAUUCUCUCAUCUCCCUCUUAAGCCCUGCAGAAUGAGGACAUGCUAAGCAGAAAAUACUUUUCUGUAUUCUUUCCUUUCCACUACUUUGCGCUUCCUAAGCACAGUUCUGCUGAUAUAUGGCACUUCUAAAAAAUCAUCCUGCGAAGAAUCUCUGCCUGCCAUCAGAUGUAUGCAAGAAGCCGAGUUCCUGUCUGUGGCCCAUUUUUGGGUUAACACAACGUGAACUGGUGGAGGCCAAGUCACGUACAAUUCUGCAGAGCACUCAAAAGCAUUUGCAAGGAGAAUCCCAAACUGCUGUUAGGACGCAGACUUGUGCUGGGUUCUAAUAAUACCUUGCAGGUAAUUGUUAUUGGGUACUGGCUUUGAUACAUUGGUAUGAUAUUGGAAAGAAACAAUCACCGAGAGGCAGGGCUGCAGAAAUUGGAUACCCAUGAUUGUUUUGGUGGUGCCUCACUGAAAACGGCAUGAAAUGAGCAUGGACUGAUCAAAAGUCCAUGAAAAAAAAAGUCCAAGAAAAGUCCAUGAAAAAAGUCCAAGGAAAGACGCCUGGACAGGUGAAGGGAGGUAAUCCAGCAGUGCCAGGCCACACAGCAGAGAAGGGAAUGACCUGCUGCAGGAGCCUAGGAGGGUGUUGUCAUGGGUAUGAGUAGUGGAAGAGGAACCAAGAAGGAAACAGGACGUGUUCAGAAUGACUGCAGAAUGCUGCUGCAACAAGCACUGAGAAAAUGCUGGAAUAUGGGGCAAUGGUCCCAUCUUGCUUAUCCAGCUCUCGAAGGGUUUUUCUCGUGUAUCCAGGUAGCAGGCCUGGAAGGGGGAGUCCUGUUUAUUUCCAUUAUUUAGGUAUACAUUUCUCCAAAUUGAGAUUUGAUAAGAGGACAGCUGCUGCAUUUUUAUUAUUUGAGACAAGCGGCAGUAAAAGCUGUUCAGAGUUCACGAUGGAAAUGUAUCCGCAUAUUGGCAUUUAUCCAGCUGCACUUCACAAAGGUAAAUGGGACGUGAGAGUGGUAUGCUGCCCCCUUUUAAUCCAUUUUCUAUAGAAGGGGGUACUUUGCUUCUCUGCGGGAAAGGCCAGCACAGCUACUGUGCUAAUAAAUGCUCGUUUCUCACUGCAGCAUAUGGGCUUCCCAGACUCAUAAAUCCAAGCAAUUUGUAGUUGAAUUACAAUUAAAUAUCCACACACAUUUCCAUACCGUGGUCUGGUGCACAAGGCAUAGGCCUAAGUGGCUGGACAUCUGCUGUCUGCUCUCCCAUACGUAGUGUUUGGCAGAGCAUAAUUGCUUAAUCUUACCCUACCUCCAUUAACAGUACCUGUAAAAUUGGAUGUAGAGCAUCAUCCUACAGAUGUUUUGGCAUAUUCUUCAAGAAGAUCAGCGUCUUCUUUCUAGCUCUUUUUUCUUCCCCCCCUUUUCUUUUUUCUUUUUUUUUUUUUAAGCAUCCCUUAUUGUCAAAUAAUCAAAAAUACUUUUCAAUGCUGUUGAUCUUUCAGUCAAAGGAUUUCCAGGGCAGGGGUUCAGUUUGGCUCUGUUAAUGACGGUGGGAAAUGAGACAUCGCAUUAAAAAGCUGGUCGAGAUGCAGGACACUCAGAGAUCCUCUCAGCAAUUUUGUGUCAUUUGUACAAGACCCAGAGACUCAGUAAUGCAAUAAGAUAAAUGUGGUGCUUGAUUACAAUGGAUGUAUUGCACUUAAAAAGGCAUUUUAUUGUUAGGCUCUGCAUAUCUAAAGUAAUAACCACUGUAUGUCAGGCAAGACAAUAGUAAAGUAAGCCAGAUAAUUUUCCCAUUGUUAAAACUUUCAAAAUCCAAAAAGCUAUAAAUGUCUUAAUUACAUUCAAUUUAGCUAGAUCUAGUGCUGGUGGCUGGAGGGAACAUCUUUCUGAGGUUCAGUCUUUCCUCUGGUCUAACUGAUAACACUUAAAACUCUGUCACUUACACUGUUACAGCUAUUUAAAGAAGAAUUAUAUGUACUCAUUACCCAUCUAGAGUUUCCACGCAGCAGGGUUACUAUAUAAAACUGCAGUUUAGUUGUUUUCAUUUGUCCCAGAAAGCUUGAACAAAGAUACACAGUUUGCCCUGAGCUCAACCAGCAUCCUUCAGUGCUGAAGCUCUCUGAGGCACAAGGGCUGUCUUCUGCACUGUUGUACAGUUACCUAACAAAAUGCUCAUUCCCUGUGGAUUUGGUAGAAACUUUGAAUUAUGCCCCCCUUGACUCCAGCUCCAUGUGCCUGUCCGCUUCAGAUUAAGUUCUAGCUACGAUCACAAGAACAUCCUAAAUCAGUCUCAGUAGUUUGUAUUUCCUUGCCAAAGAUCUUAUCUGCUGUGGGUGCAAGUUGCACCAUAAAGAGUGCUGGUGUUGAAAAUUUUUCACCCUUCUGUUUCACAACUCUACCUUUUUAGGCUAGGUUAAUUUAUCUGGAAGAACUGAGGCAAAGCUUUCAGGUGAGAAGGGCCAUGCAGCAAUACAGCACUGCUCUGCGCAUCUGCACAAUUUGUAUAUUUGAUUAGGUUCCUCAGCACUUGCAGAUUAUUGUUGGUAGAAGCAAAUCCUACUUUUGCCAUUUUUUUUAUAAGGCUCUUUGCUGCAUCUCUGUGAAUGUUCAUUCUCUUAUGUUCUUUACAAAAAUGACAAAUGCUGAUAGUAAAAAUUACAUUUGCUCAUUAAAA